UGUCCGACCGUAGGUGCCGUCCGGCCGGGGAGCGGCGCUCCCGGCCUGGGGUUCCCCCAGCGUGGGGCCUUUCCCGCCCGCAGCGCUGAGGCCGAGGGUUUUCACCGUGAGCGUGGGGCUCCAGCCCUUCGCGUGGGUAUCGCUUAUCCCGUGUGUCCUUCCGGGGUCGCCUCCGGCCGAGCUGCUGGCGGGGGUUGCGGAAUGGGGCGGGGAGCACCCAAACUGCGGUCGCUUGGGCGAGGGAAGGCCAGAAGUGGGUAGCGGAGGGAAAACGGGUAGACUGUUUCAGUGAUUUGGCUUAUGCUGCGGGUCUGCAAAGAGUCGAAGCAGCCACACUGCAGGCAGGAGCUGUAAGUUGCGGCAGCGACGUAGGAGUGAGCCAAGGAACCAGGAAACAUGAAAUCACUCAUCCUCUGCCUAGGUAUAAAAGAAGUUUGAAGAGUUUAUAUGCCUGUACCCGCCAAGAUGAGGCAAGAAAAAGAUUGACUUUUUGCACCUGGUUUCCUAACAACUUAUAAGCCAAAUGAACAGGGAGAACAACUACGCUCCAGUACCACUGUAGCCUUCCAACUGUGAAAGAUGUGGCGCUACAGCUCUCUGCCAUUCUCUACUGCUCAAGCUACAGACCCUGGGCAGAAGCUGCUGCGUGGCUACCUGAGGUUUAGGCUUCUGUGUGUUACGCUUGUUAAGCUGCUUCAGAAACUGACUUUGCCUGCUCUGUGAUUAAAGCAAACUAUCCCCCACUUA